GCCGGGGUGGCGGAAUUGGUAGACGCACAGGACUUAAAAUCCUGUGGGCGCUCGCGCCCGUGCCGGUUCGACUCCGGCCCUCGGUA
rnacentral:tRNA from 2 species